rnacentral:pre_miRNA from 1 species
AGUGGAAUUGCUGGGUCACAUGGUGACUCUGUGUUUAGCUUUUGAGGAAUUGCCAGGCUGUGUUCCAAAGCAACUGUACCAUUUUACAUUCCCACAAGCAAU